rnacentral:rRNA from 1 species
CCUACGGGUGGCAGCAGUGAGGAAUAUUGGUCAAUGGACGAGAGUCUGAACCAGCCAAGUAGCGUGAAGGAUGACUGCCCUAUGGGUUGUAAACUUCUUUUAUAUGGGAAUAAAAUGUUCCACGUGUGGGAUUUUGUAUGUAUCAUAUGAAUAAGGAUAGGCUAACUCCGUGCCAGCAGCCGCGGUAAUACGGAGGAUCCGAGCGUUAUCCGGUUUUAUUGGGUUUAAAGGGAGCGUAGGUGGACUGUUAAGUCAGUUGUGAAAGUUUGCGGCUCAACCGUAAAAUUGCAGUUGAAACUGGCAGUCUUGAGUACAGUAGAGGUGGGCGGAAUUCGUGGUGUAGCGGUGAAAUGCUUAGAUAUCACGAAGAACUCCGAUUGCGAAGGCAGUUCACUGGACUGCAACUGACACUGAGGCUCGAAAGUGUGGGUAUCAAACAGGAUUAGAUAUCCUUGUAGUC